UACGGGGGGAGCAAGCGUUGUUCGGAUUUACUGGGCGUAAAGGGCGCGUAGGCGGUUUGCUAAGUGGGAUGUGAAAUCCCCGGGCUUAACCUGGGAAUUGCAUUUCAAACUGGCCGACUAGAGUACGGUAGAGGGAGGUAGAAUUUCCUGUGUAGCGGUGAAAUGCGUAGAUAUAGGAAGGAAUACCAGUGGCGAAGGCGGCCUCCUGGAUCGAUACUGACGCUGAGGCGCGAAAGCGUGGGGAGCAAACAGG
rnacentral:rRNA from 1 species